rnacentral:rRNA from 1 species
GAUGAACGCUGGCGGCGUGCCUAAUACAUGCAAGUCGAGCGAACAGACGAGGAGCUUGCUCCUCUGACGUUAGCGGCGGACGGGUGAGUAACACGUGGAUAACCUACCUAUAAGACUGGGAUAACUUCGGGAAACCGGAGCUAAUACCGGAUAAUAUAUUGAACCGCAUGGUUCAAUAGUGAAAGACGGUUUUGCUGUCACUUAUAGAUGGAUCCGCGCCGCAUUAGCUAGUUGGUAAGGUAACGGCUUACCAAGGCAACGAUGCGUAGCCGACCUGAGAGGGUGAUCGGCCACACUGGAACUGAGACACGGUCCAGACUCCUACGGGAGGCAGCAGUAGGGAAUCUUCCGCAAUGGGCGAAAGCUUGACGGAGCAACGCCGCGUGAGUGAUGAAGGUCUUCGGAUCGUAAAACUCUGUUAUUAGGGAAGAACAAAUGUGUAAGUAACUAUGCACGUCUGACGGUACCUAAUCAGAAAGCCACGGCUAACUACGUG